rnacentral:rRNA from 1 species
CCCUUAGAUGUUCGGGGCCGCACGCGCGCUACACUGAAGGAAUCAGCACGUCUUUCUCCUUGUCCGAAAGGACUGGGUAACCCGCUGAACCUCCUUCGUGCUAGGGAUUGGGGCUUGUAAUUCUUCCCCAUGAACGAGGAAUUCCCAGUAAGCGCGAGUCAUAAGCCCGCGUUGAUUACGUCCCUGCCCUUUGUACACACCGCCCGUCGCUACUACCGAUUGGAUGGUUUAGUGAGAUCCUCGGAUUGGUCCCGGAGCGGCCUCUGGUCGUGCCGGAGUGCCGAAAAGAAUGUCGAACUUGAUCAUCUAGAGGAAGUAAAAGUCGUAACA